UGGAAUCCCUAUCACACAAGAGCAAACACCAAAAAGUUCACAACACAAUAAGGGGAAUGGACAAAGAAAGAGUUUUGGAAAGGAAGUCCUUUGAAGUCAACUUUGAGAUUUAGCAUUCUAAAGGCAUGAGGCCUAGUUGCUCUUCAACAAGUUUAACAUUCUAAAGGCAUGUGGCCUAGUUGCUCUUGAACUCCUUUAAGCAUAGGUAUGUCUUAAUUAUAAGUCAUUUCUCCUUUUUGC
rnacentral:lncRNA from 1 species